rnacentral:lncRNA from 1 species
AAAAAGUAAGGAAGAUAAUGUCCAGGGGCUUCUAAUUGUAGCUGAUGUCUUCCCCUUAGAUACUGUCUGAGAAGCUUUGUGGGUACAGGAUAGUUAUCACUGCUGGUAGUUUUUCAUUAGCUUUCUUGGUUAGUGAGUGUUUGUGCUUGUAAUCAUCACCAAGUACUGAGUAUAUGUGUCACCAUUAUACAUUUUUUUUCUCUUCUAGUUUUUGUCUUUUCUAUUCUUUCUCCCCUGCUGAGGUCAAAAGCCAGUGGUGUAGAUGUGGAGCAAGAUGGGAAAUACCUGUUGGCAUUGCUUGGCCUCUCCACACUCAGAUAUCAUGAUCAGUAGGAUUGACCAGGCAUUUCUUGCUCAGCUGACCCAUGACUUUCCAGUGUAAACUCUUCUCUUGCUAUAAAUGACAAAAUGUCAUCUCAAUUCUUACCUUGCUAAUAACAGUCUGACUCCCUGAAAUUCAGUUGUUGUUUUGUAGUUAUCUUCUUUAUCAAGAGGCUCCAUGGAGAGCUGGAAAUUGUAAAUGUUCCUAAAGUAUCAAUAUAUCCCAUCUUCCCUUUUCUACAUAAGACUAUUUAGCCCCCACUUAGCUUGUGUGUUCCCUGGUUCACUCCACCCAAAGUGGACUCAUGAAUAGGGUUCUCCCCUAUUGAUAUUUAUUCCACAGGAUCUAACCAGACAGCAGUUUCAUUGUAGCUCAGGUGGGAGUUGUUCUCAGUGAUGUAGUAAGGCCUUGUCAUAGUUGCAGAGUAGCAGCUGCUCAGAUGAUUCCACCUCCUAAGGGGACCUUUUAUAAUGGUAUUGCUCACCACAGUGGGUGUUCUUUGAAAGACUAGAAGAAACCAUGUUCAAUUUAAACAAAACUUUUUUGACAUUUUAAGGUUACUGGUUUGCUGCCUCUUUCCCCAGGAAAAGGAAGUUGAAGUACAUCUUCCCUGUGAAGAAUCUGGAUGGAGUUGUGCAUUUCUUUCUUUCUUUUUUUUAAGUGCAUUUGUUUCUGAUGAUUUCCAGAAAGAGAGUUGUAUUAUGCACAUAAGCUGUUGACCAGCACCAAAGGAAAAGAAAGAAUUGUUACAAUAGCAUUUUCCCUGCUGUUGUAAUCUUCCAUUUCUUUCUUCUUUCAGAUUUAAAAUUCAUCUUUCAAGAAGACUUUGGUUUGGGCAGCCUGCCCCCCAACCCCCUGUAGGAGGUCUCCCUCUUGAAAUGAGAAAAGGCUCUGUGCCCAGGUCCCAUCUUGCCACAGCUUGACUGCCUGUUGCUGGCCUGAUGAAGGUUAUAAGAAACAUCAUACCUUCACAGUCUCUCCAGAUGUAUUCAUUGUCAUAAACGUUGCACUUCAAGCCAGUUAUUUGAUUUAUGUCAUUAUACUUUGAAUCUACCUGAUAGUAAUUGUCAGGGAUGAUGGUAUGCACCCAGUAGCAGCCUUUAAGCCACCUGUAUAUAUAUUUGAAUUUCACAGUUUGGUGGUAAUCCUUUCUUCUUUUGAUACUUGGAGUUUCAGGCUAUUAAAAUUACAAUAAACUCUUGAGGUACUUUAGAUGCUCUUCUGCUUCAGUUUACAUGUUUUAUUACACUAUCUUGUUUGUGUUUACCAACAGGAUUACAAGAAUAUGUAAUGUCUGGCAAAGCAAAUAGGAAGUAAAGUAAAAGUAUCUUGCUCAGCUUAGCCUAUCACUGCUUCUUCCCCAAGUCAAGCAUGCCCUUUAAACUUUAAUGGUUAACAAUUACCCGGAGACCUGUUUUCAGGAAAAUGUAUAAUCAAUUCAUUUGAUGGAAACAUUUUUGACUAAGAUGAUAUGUUUUUAUCCUAGUUUUCCUUGAAGCUGUUAAGUAUUUGGAGAUAUAAAUUUGAAUAAAUAGAAUAUUUAUGCAGCUCAAUAUGAGUUUUAUAAAAGAUGGUCUAUGAGAUCAGGUAUUAUGACACACUUAGUAUAAAUUUGGUUAUGUCUUCUUUUAGAGCAAUUAAGUGAUGGCAAGUUUUCCUAAAUAGCAUAAGAGCUGGUUGAGUUGAUAUUUGGAGUUUAUUGUAAUUUCUUGCCAAUUUUGUUUCACACUUAGUAACAUAGGGAAAAAGAGAUGUUAUACAGGUCAAUUGUAAUAUGUGGAUUCUUCUCCAGGAUCGAAAGAGUCAAAGAGGAACCACUUGGUUUACCAUGGGUCUGAAGUACUUUUGAACUUUUAAAACCAUUUAAUUAAAGUGGUUUCAAUUAUUUUCCAAGUCAUUUUUGUGUCUUAUUCUGUUAAGAAAAAGUAGUUAAUGUUUUUGAUAGUUUAUCAGAAUUUGUCAGAUUUUUCUGGUUUUAUAAAUAAUUAUGCUGAUUUACUAGGAGGAGGUUGGGGGAUUUUAGAACAGUUGCUUUCAAGUAGUGAUGGAUUUGAAGCAUUUUUUGAAAAUAUCUUUAAGUUUUUGUAGGUUGAUGAGAUAAUGUACACUUGACUGUUAUGUGAUCAAACUUUUAUUGCUCUUCUGUUUAUUUACUGGUGAGUUUAGAUGAGUUUUCAACUCUAAACGAGGAUAAUACUACUCUCUCAUAGGGAUGUUUGUGGUCCAAUAAUUAGGGUCCAGCCAAAUAGUAGUGGUUGUCAUGUUAAUAUUUCAGUUUAGGAACUUACUGGUCAUUCAGGGAAUCCCUGAAAAGAGUAGACAGAGGUGCAUGUGUUCACUCGGGUGUUUGUUGUGAGCUAGCCAUUGGGCUGAACCCUUUAACUGCGAACUCAUUCUCCCAUUAGUCCUGUGAGAUAGGCGCUUUUCUCUUCUUCUAGCUACACAUGAGAAGAUGAAAUCACACAGGGGUUGCCAUUGCUGUUAAGUGGGAAGUCAGGAUUGAAAGCCAGACAGUCCAAUCUGGAGCCUGUGUCCCUAACUCUCCCUAUAGACUGCCUUACACUUGGGCAUGCCCAGGAGUCUCUAGGUGGAGUUCAAGUUCAGUCCUGCUCAGGGUUGAUUUUAAAAGCUGAUUGACCAGUCCAGUCCUGAGGAAAUCUCCCUGUCCCUGAUUCCUUGGCUCCCUAGUGGAUACAAUCCCCAAAGUGUUCUUGUGUGGGUUUAGUCCCUCAUUCACCCCUUAUUUCGCUUACCAUGGACACCCUUUGAACACACCAGUUGGUGUUCAUGGUGGGCCAUAGAUCAUGGCCAAAUGGGCUGGUGGUUUUAAAAAUACUACAUUCAAUAUAGGAGAAAAGGUGGACGGGUUCACUUCCUCUUGAAGGAGUGGAUUUGGGGGCUAAGAUGGGCAGGCCUCAGAGACCCGGUUAGUGGUUUUAGGAACUCUUAGUAGCAUUUUGCUUACUUUCUAUCCUUGGAGAUAUAAUCCCAAGAUAAAAUCACUUUCUAUAGUCGAUUUAUAAAAGAUUACCUUGCAAAAUAACUUUAUGUUAAAACCUACUGAUAGUCUCUAAUCUGUGGCUUAUGGUUAGGGUCAGAUGUUGAACAACCUGUACCUGCUAUUUAGAAAAAAGAAAAAAUCCUGGAGGCUGGGGAGGGAGAGAAUGAGUGUGUCAUUGCUAUCAGAGUUCACUUUUGGCUCUCCAUACCCAGUUUGUGUGAGGCAUGUUAUUAGGAUCUGAGGAUCCUAAUGUGUUUCUUCCAAAGCCAAAUUAAGUAAUUUUUAUCAACCCACUGCUAAUGUGUGAACUCCUUAGGAGUCCUAAUUGCUUAUUACUGCUUCUGUAUCAUUGUAUGUAGUAGAUGUUAAAUGAAUGUUGGUUAGAUCAGUAAAUGGAGACAUUUUGUUAAAUUAAUGAAAGAGUAUUAGUUUAGCUACUCUCUUAUUUCCAAUUUCUUAUUGGACUUUCAAAACACACCCAUAACCACCAACUAUCAGAGACAGUUUUUCAUCACUUUUCUGGCAUGUGUGAGGCACUGGGUUCGAUUCUCAGCACCACAUAUAAACAAACAAACAAACAAAUAAAUAAAUAAAGUUCCAUCUACAACAAACAUUUUAAAAAGAGGGGGUGGUGGAAUUGAGCUGUUACAUUUUGAACAACAGUAUGAAAAAGUGAAGUGCUUGUGACAGCAAAGGAAACAAUGAGCUCUGAUAAUUCCUAGUCUUCAUCACAACUGCCAUGGUCAUACGUUGCUGGAAUCUGUUUCUUCUAUCAGGCUUAGAGUCUGGGUGCCAGGUGAUUGCUGUGAAUGCAUUGAGCGAUUUUGGAUUUGGAAGUAUAGAGAGGUUGUUAAAAGAAGUGUUAGAAGGGUUUUUUUGUUUUUUUAAUUACUGUAGGUAGCACAAAUUCAAAACUGUACUGUCUUCCAAAAAUUCCUAAGGAGGAAAUCUUAUCUUCACACAGUUUGCUGUAAUUCUGCUGGAGUGAGCCGUAGUUGCUUAGUACAUUUGAAUACCUAAGAUUUCUUCAGUAACUUAUUGUCUAUAGUUUGCAGUUUAAUUUUGUUACCAGUCUCUGGACAAUAGUUUGUUUUUUUUUUCCAAGAAAGAUUAUUAUUUGUAAAUGUGUUCAGCCAUUGUGACAUGUGGCGCUUAUUAAACGUAAUAAGAGGAAGCCCUCAUGCACCAAGUGUGGAAGCUCUUUCCGGCUCUGCAGAGCCUGGUGAAUGGCACUUCCUUAUUUGUUUUGGGCUAUCUCUAUAGAGGGGCAUGGCCAGCUUCAUUUUGCUUAUGUGGUAGUUACUGAAAUAGCAGGAAAUGGUGUGAACCCUAAUGCACUGUUGAUCCCUCGAGGACCUGAGUCUGUGCAUUCCUGGUCCUAUGAAAUUGAGUGAAAUUGGUUGAAUUUUCUGAAAUUCCUGUUAGUGGAAAAACUACUACAGAAGUAUGUGGGACAAGAAAGAGAUUUUUAAGGGCACAGUAUGUAUAUUAAGUUGUGAGCUAAGUGAUUUACCAAAAUAUUGGUUCAUAAUGUUGGCAGUGUCUUCAGUGCUUCUUCUCAGUUUUUAAAAUUUUAUAUUGAGAUAAAGUAUCACAAUUUUAACCAUUUAAAAAUAGACAAUUUAGUGUAUUUUAGUAUAUUCACAAUGUUAUGCAACCAUAACUGCUGUGUAAUUCCUGAACAUGUUUAUGGUCCCCCAAAUAUACCCUGUACCUAUUAAGAACUCAUUCUCUUCCCUCCCCUGAAAAUUUGGCAACCACUAAUUUGUGUCUGGAUUUUCCUAUUCUGUAUAUUUUAUGCAAAUGAAUAACUUGAAAAAUAAAUAGUAUCUAACUCAUUCUUUGACUAAGUUCAGCUUAUUAAUGGCUCUGAUGUUCUCAUUAACCACCCCCAUGCUGUAAUUAAAUGGUUAUUAAGUAAACAUAAGAAUUUUACUUAAGUAGCAGGUAUUUUCUUUUUUCUGGACGAAGUCAUUUUUGAUAAUGAAAUCUCAGUCCUUGUCCCACACAACUAUCCAAUAAUGAGGACAAGGUUUUGAUAAAAAGGGAAAAGCUGGUGUGGUGGUGCACACCUGUAAUCUCAGUGACUCUGGAGGCUGAGGCAGGAGAAUUGCAAACUGGAGGACUGCCUUAGCAACUUAGUGAGAUCCUGUCUCAAAACAAAAAAUUAAAAGUUCUAGAGAUGUGACUCAGUGGUAGAGUAUCCCUGGGUUCAAUCCCUAGUACCCUCCCCACCCCC